rnacentral:rRNA from 1 species
UACAGAGGUCUCAAGCGUUGUUCGGAUUCAUUGGGCGUAAAGGGUGCGUAGGCGGCGCGGUAAGUCGGGUGUGAAAUCUUGGAGCUUAACUCCGAAACUGCAUUCGAUACUGCCGUGCUUGAGGACUGGAGAGGAGACUGGAAUUUACGGUGUAGCGGUGAAAUGCGUAGAUAUCGUAAGGAAGACCAGUGGUGAAGGCGGGUCUCUGGACAGUUCCUGACGCCGAGGCACGAAGGCCAGGGGAGCAAACGGG